CCUACGGGCGGCAGCAGUGGGGAAUAUUGCGCAAUGGGCGAAAGCCUGACGCAGCGACGCCGCGUGAGGGAUGAAGGUCUUCGGAUCGUAAACCUCUGUCAGCAGGGAAGAACGGUCACUGUGCUAAUCAGCAGUGAAUUGACGGUACCUGCAAAGGAAGCACCGGCUAACUCCGUGCCAGCAGCCGCGGUAAUACGGAGGGUGAGAGCGUUAAUCGGAAUUACUGGGCGGAAAGCGCUCGUAGGCGGUAUGUCAAGGUAAGGGUGAAAUCCCCGCGCUCAACGUGGGAACUGCCUUUGAAACUGGCACACUGGAGUGUGUGAUAGGAUAGUCGCAUU
rnacentral:rRNA from 1 species